AAGGUAAUGCUGGAAUAGGUAGACAGGAAUAGCUUAGGCCUAUUUGAUUUUUUUUAAUCUUGUCCGUUCAAUUCGGAUUUACCUUA
rnacentral:tRNA from 1 species